GGAAAGGUGAGUUUUGCGAGAUCUUCUCCCUGCUCCCCUUGGAGGACUUUAUUGACCUCAAAGAGGAUGAUAAGAAGGAUGAGAAGAAGGAGGAGGAGGAAAAAAGGAAGCGGUAUCGUAAGAUCCCGAAAUCCUUUGGUAACUGGUUGAGGGCGUUUUGCGUGUUGGCCAGCGUGCUCGGUGAGAAAUCGCCGGGAUUAUGCUCGUCCCUGUUCUGCUACCUGGACGGCAUUUGGGAAGCAUACCGCACCUAUGGGGGGCUGGCAUGGUGGCGGUACGAUGAACAGUUCAGGCAGCGACUGGCGGCUAACCCGGGUAUGAGGUGGGAUCAGAUGGAUCUGCCUCUCUGGAUGAAGCUAAUGAUGGCUCAGAAGGCGCAGCCCUUUCAAAACUCGGCCGGCGCGAAGGGGCAGUCCGCCUCGUCGGCCGCUUUACAAAAGGGCUUCUGCUGGCUCUACAACGAGGGCCAGUGCAAAUGGGGAACCGCAUGUCGAUUUAAGCACGAGUGCUCUGGUUGCGGGGG